UGCUUCGGCCGGGAAUCGAACCCGGGCCGUCCGCGUGGUAGGCGAGCAUUCUACCACUGAACCACAGAUGC
rnacentral:tRNA from 1 species